AGAUGGCGACCGGCGCACGGGUGAGUAACACGUAUCCAACCUGCCGAUAACUCGGGGAUAGCCUUUCGAAAGAAAGAUUAAUACCCGAUGGUAUAAUCAGACCGCAUGGUUUGAUUAUUAAAGAAUUUCGGUUAUCGGUGGGGAUGCGUUCCAUUAGGCAGUUGGUGAGGUAACGGCUCACCAAACCUUCGAUGGAUAGGGGUUCUGAGAGGAAGGUCCCCCACAUUGGAACUGAGACACGGUCCAA
rnacentral:rRNA from 1 species